GAGUUUGAUCCUGGCUCAGGACGAACGCUUGCGACGUGCCUAAGAAAUGCAAGUCGAACGGAUCAGCAGCAAUGCUGGUUAGUGGCGAACGGUCGCGUAACACGUGGGCAACCUGCCCUGAAGCGGGGGAUAACAGCUUGAAAGAGUUGCUAAUACCGCAUGUGAAUUGUCUUGGCAUCAAGACGUAUUCAAAGCCGCAAGGCACUUCAGGAUGGGCCCGCGGCCUAUCAGCUAGUUGGUGAGGUAAUGGCCCACCAAGGCUUCGACGGGUAGCUGGUCUGAGAGGACGAUCAGCCGGAUUGGGACUGAGAUACGGCCCAGACUCCUGCGGGGGGCAGCAAUUAGGAAUCUUGCGCAAUGGGCGAAAGCCUGACGCAGCGACGUCGCGUGAAGGAUGAAAUCUUUCGGGAUGUAAACUUCUUUUACCAGGGAAGAAUAAUGACGGUACCUGGUGAAUAAGCCCCGGCUAACUACGUGCCAGCAGCCGCGGUAAUACGUAGGGGGCGAGCGUUGUCCGAAGUUACUGGGCGUAAAGAGCGCGUAGGCGGGUUCUUAAGUGAGGGGUGAAAGUCCGAGGCUCAACCUCGGAACUGCCUUUUCAUACUGGGAACCCCUGAGCGCGGUAGAGGCGAGCGGA
rnacentral:rRNA from 1 species